rnacentral:rRNA from 1 species
UACGUAGGGUGCGAGCGUUGUCCGGAAUUAUUGGGCGUAAAGAGCUUGUAGGCGGUCUGUCGCGUCUGCUGUGAAAAUCCGGGGCUCAACCCCGGACUUGCAGUGGGUACGGGCAGACUAGAGUGUGGUAAGGGAGACUGGAAUUCCUGGUGUAGCGGUGAAAUGCGCAGAUAUCAGGAAGAACACCCGUGGCGAAGGCGGCUCUCUGGGACGGUACUGACGCUGAGACGCGAAAGCGUGGGGAGCGAACAGG